CCCACCCAGAAGCUCUAGGGGCGACUCAUGCAGCAAGUGCAGAGGUAAUAGACGCCUCGUAAGGAAAGAAUCCACUACAUGAAGAGGCCCAUGUGGCCAGGAGCAGAGGGAAGCCUCCCGCUGACAGCCAGCAGGACAGGGAGGCCCUCGGUCUCAUAGCCAACAAAGAACCAAAUCUUGCCAACAGGCAUGGGAGCUGGGAAGUGUACCUUCCCCGUUCAAGCCUCAGUGAGACCCCAGCCCUGCCUAACACCCCACUGCAGUCUCGAAAGAGACCUGAAACAGAGGACCAUGCCCAGAUUCCUGACCCAAGGAAACAGCGGGUAAUAAAUGCGUGUUGUUUUAAGCCGCCGCAUUUGUG
rnacentral:lncRNA from 1 species